AGUGAACGCUGGCGGUAGGCCUAACACAUGCAAGUCGAACGGCAGCACAGGAGAGCUUGCUCUCUGGGUGGCGAGUGGCGGACGGGUGAGGAAUACAUCGGAAUCUGCCCAGUCGUGGGGGAUAACGUAGGGAAACUUACGCUAAUACCGCAUACGACCUUCGGGUGAAAGAGGGGGAUCGUAAGACCUCUCGCGAUUGGAUGAGCCGAUGUCGGAUUAGCUAGUUGGCGGGGUAAUGGCCCACCAAGGCGACGAUCCGUAGCUGGUCUGAGAGGAUGAUCAGCCACACUGGAACUGAGACACGGUCCAGACUCCUACGGGAGGCAGCAGUGGGGAAUAUUGGACAAUGGGCGCAAGCCUGAUCCAGCCAUACCGCGUGGGUGAAGAAGGCCUUCGGGUUGUAAAGCCCUUUUGUUGGGAAAGAAAUCUUUCAGGCUAAUACCCUGGGAGGAUGACGGUACCCAAAGAAUAAGCACCGGCUAACUUCGUG
rnacentral:rRNA from 1 species